AACCAUGCUGUCCACAAUUAACUCUCCAGAUUGAAUUAGAAGUUUCAGGGAGGGGUCCGCCUCAGGAUCAUGACAGCACAUAUCAGCAAAGACUGAGGGAAAAACUCAGGUGACACGCGGGUGCAUGCAAUAUAAAGAGGCACCUUUUAUCAGAUCAUUGGAAGCAUAGAAAGAAACAGAGAUGAAAAUAAAUGUAAUUUGCAAAUGAGCUGGGGGACGCACCACAUCAAGUAGUUAGGGAGUUGUAACGCCCUGGGACGAGAAGUGUUUCGAAAAAUCCAGCUCGAAACAUCAGCCGAGGGACUUUUAAGGAAGCAUCAUGCCUCGUUCACAACUUUUAAUUAUUCUCAUGUGUUGUCUUCCUUUGGCAGCCUGUUUGCGCUGUUACACCUGUAUGUUUCCAUCCAUCUCUCCUCUGGACUGCUUAAAGUUUCCCGUGGAGUGUCCAGCUGGCCAGCGCUGCCUCUCCAGCGUAGCAUCAGGAAGACGAGGCCCACUACAGCUGACGUUGUACGAAAAAAGCUGCGCAGUUGCCUCCCAGUGUGACGUGAGUGGAGAAAAAUACACGUCAGGGGUCUCCUUCAACUACACCAACGUGUGCUGCGAUACCGACCUGUGCAACAGUGCCGUGUCCGUUACUGCCCCAAGCUGGGUGGGAGUGAUGCUCUGCCUGCUGCCUGCUCUCGGGCUUCUGCUGGCCUGAGCAGCAGACGUGACGAUGCGGUCUUAUCCUCGAUAAAAAUUUUUUAAAAAUGAAACACAUCUGACACCGACUGAUUUAAUAUGAAGAUAUUUUAUUGGGACAUUAAUAAACCCUACUUCGUAAGAUGUUUAAAGUACAAAAUACAUUUCAGCUGUGCUAGUAGUUUGCCUUGAUCGAUGAUUUAAGCCUGCUGAUUGUGUGUCCACACUUUUACUUUUGAUCCUGUGUACUUUGAAGUUUAGAUGUUUUUGACUACAUGAUGGCAAAAAGAGUGGAAAAAAAGACAAUAAAAGGCUAAAAUAUUAAAAGAUGGUUAAGAAAUAAAGCAAAAAGCACAGUUUGUAUAACAAAGGACAUGGAUGACAUAUAUAUAUAUAUAUAUUUUUAAAGUUAAAAUAGUUAAUUGAGAAACAAACUAUGCAUAUUAAUGAUUUGUCUAAUUUAACAUAUUAAGUGGUCCCUGAAAUUACAUUAAGUCCUACAGUCUUCCACACACAGAGAGAAGAAAAACUACAAUAUAUUAGCACUGAAAUUAUUCAGACUCGGUCCCUUUAAACAUUGUUCCACUUUAAAAAAUAGAUAAAAAUCCAACAAUUCAGUCAA